UACUCGAGUGGCGAACGGGUGAGUAACACGUGGGUGAUCUGCCCUGCACUUCGGGAUAAGCUUGGGAAACUGGGUCUAAUACCGGAUAGGAGCCAUCUUUAGUGUGGUGGUUGGAAAGUUUUUUCGGUGUAGGAUGAGCUCGCGGCCUAUCAGCUUGUUGGUGGGGUAAUGGCCUACCAAUGCGGCGACGGGUAGCCGGCCUGAGAGGGUGUACGGCCACAUUGGGACUGAGAUACGGCCCAG
rnacentral:rRNA from 1 species